CCUACGGGUGUCAGCAGUGGGGAAUAUUGGGCAAUGGAGGCAACUCUUACCCAGCAAUGCCGCGUGAAUGAAGAAGGUCUUUGGAUUGUAAAGUUCUUUAAUUGGGGACGAAAAAAAUGACGGUACCCAAGGAAUAAAGUCCGGCUAACUACGUGCCAGCAGCUGCGGUAAUACGUAGGGGGCAAGCGUUGUUCGGAAUGACUGGGCGUAAAGGGUGUGUAGUCGGUGUAGCAAGUUAGAAGUGAAAUACCUAGAGCUUAACUCAUGUGCUGCUUCUGAAACUGCUGUACUUGAGUGCAGUAGAGGAAAGUGGAAUGCCUAGUGUAGCGGUGGAAUGCAUAGAUAUUA
rnacentral:rRNA from 1 species